UACGUAGGGGGCAAGCGUUGUCCGGAUUUAUUGGGCGUAAAGAGCGUGUAGGCGGUUUGGUAGGUCCGCUGUGAAAACUCGAGCUCAACUUCGAGACGCCGGUGGAAACCAUCAGACUAGAGUCCGGAAGAGGAGAGUGGAAUUCCUGGAUGUAGCGGUGAAAUGCGCAGAUAUCAGGAAGAACACCCGUGGCUAAGGCGGCUCUCUGGGCAUUACCUGACGCUGAGGAGCGAAAGCGUGGGUAGCGAACAGG
rnacentral:rRNA from 1 species